CAGUUCGACAGGAGAUCUGCACCACUAACGCGAUGAGAGUGAGAACCAGUCCCAAACACACCCCACACACAAAAUACAGGGCCGCCCGUUCCGGGUUAUCUGCAGAAACAGUUCAGGGGAUCCAUUGGUGGGAUCCAUUCAUUUGUCACCACAUUUCUCCAGGUCUGUGCUGAUGAAAAAGAAAACUCAUCUUCAUCUUAGAUGGCCCGAGGGUGAACGAAGGUCAUGCAGGUCUGGAACAACAUGACCAUUCAGUUUGAAGUCACUGGCCACUACACUUAUUUCAACUCAGACCUAAACAAUGCUGCCCAGUGUGUGUUCAGGCCCACAUGGCCCCACGGUUACUGCUCUAGGAGACAGGAGCUGACACAAAGCAGCUGUCUGAGUCCACUAGAGUGGCAGGAAGUCCUGCCAACAUCUGGUCCUUCUAUUAAGAGACCCUCGAGAAUCAGAGCAGGCGACAGCAGGGAGACUCUAAAGGUGAGUGAAUGUAUUGUAGUCAUGAGGUCUGUGGCCACAAGGACAUCACACUCUAACAAUCGGCUAGGUAGCUAUUACCUAAUAGUUCAAUUAUGGUUUAGACAUUAAGGUCUUUGUGUAUCUGAAGAUAGAGGAGGAAUGACUUCCUCUCCACAGACUCCAUUGUCCAGCACACAGAAGCUCCUGUUAGUGUUGCCAUUAGAUAAGAAUAUAAUGCUAAACAUCCAGACUGAGGUAUCUGGGCAUGCAAUUGUGUGUCUUUACAAGUUUAGCAAUUUCUGUCUAUCUACUAAUAAAAACAUCAACACUUCACUAUAAGAUUCAGCAUGUUAAUUUAGAAUUGUACUAUUAAAUUACUUUUACUUUUGAACAGUAAUAGCUUAACAUUAUUGUUUGCAUAAACUAAUACAUUUUUAACAUUUCAAGUUGUAUAAAUUAGCAUUGACUAAUGUAUUUUGAA